CACGUAGGCGGAUAGGUAAGUCAGAUGUGAAAUCCCGGAGCUCAACUUCGGAACUGCAUUUGAUACUGCCUGUCUUGAGUGUGGUAGAGGGGGAUGGAAUUCCCGGUGUAGAGGUGAAAUUCGUAGAUAUCGGGAGGAACACCAGAGGCGAAGGCGAUCCCCUGGGCCACUACUGACGCUGAGGUGCGAAAGCGUGGGGAGCAAACA
rnacentral:rRNA from 1 species